rnacentral:lncRNA from 1 species
CACGGGCACCCAUAGCUGACCCAGUCGGCCACCGUAGUCGGCAGCUCACUAUCCUCCACUAGUCCCAGGUUUGACCGUUUCUCAAACCGUGCCUUCCCAUUUAUGCUGCAUCCGCGCCCUGAAUCUGAAAUUGGUCGUCCUGCCACGCCGCCUCACCGCGGUAUAAGGUCGUCCCAUCCUGAAUGGCCGGUGCGCAGACUCAAUUGCGACUUUGAGGCUGUCAGCCGCCACCCGGCAACCUUCCAGUGAACAGGAUUCUGGGUUUCUCAAAGCUGUAAUUGGAGGGCCACUCCAGAGGUGUUAAAGCUCCAGCACUUCGAGCCUGCCUCGUGGGAAAGUCUUAGGCUGAGUCUGUAGGUGUCUGCAGUUAAGAAGCCAGCGGUCUGCAUAUGAUUGCUCAGGGGUGGUGGCUGGGUCCAACAGCAUUCACUACAGGCCUGCCUUGAAUACCACCUAGCGCAGUGCUCCGCAUAUCACAGGGGCUGGAAACCUAACAAUUUCACUUCCUAGACAACUUGCUAAAAGUCACCUAAAGACAGUCUGGUUACUGCCAAAGAUAUGCUUUCAAAUAAGAUUUGGAUAAAGAAGGGAGGUAGAUGCCUUUUUUCAGCAGUGGAGUGAUGUCUAGACCAGUAGAUGUACGCAUCUAAGUGAAUUCAUCACCAGCAACAAUUUCCAGAAACUUCCUGACCUCCAGAUUGCAGCUUCAUUAGUGUGAGUUUAAAGCCAACUAGAUGCCAUUCUCAGAUUCCACGCAUAUGGCCAAGGGUCCAGGAAAUAAGAAGAAACAGGUUGAGGGGUUGGUGUUAUGGGGCAUUUACUUGAAUUUUCUAUGCUAUAAUUGUCUCAUCUUUAAAACGGUGAUAAUAAUAAAAUUGUCAGUUAUUAAAUAAAUUAACACAGUGAAAAAAAA